ensembl:lincRNA
AAAGACAAGUUGCACGCUGCUGGAAUUUUCAGCUGAAGGUCACGCACCAGGGGAUUGCAGUGGCAAAGCUAGGCUAGGUCUUGGAGGCUGGUGUAAGGCGAUGCGGGAAGGCAGGAGGCUGAUGGAGAGACUGGGGGGAAGAAAAGCCGAAAUGGAUUCACGGUGCCUUGGAUGGAGGAUGAGAGGGGAACUGCAAGCUCCUUCAACUCGUUCUGUCCGGUGAGAAGUGAUCAAGCUUGGGCUGACAAGAGGCUCAGGGAGCCCUCACGUUCUUUGCUUUUUUACCUGCCAAUCAAACUGCUACAAGACAACACCCUGAUCUGGCAUGGACAUCGUGGGUCCAAGCCUGUAGCCCUAAAUCGGAUAAUCUCUGCAGCUGAUAACAAGCAAAAGAGAAGCCAGGCAACAGCCAUAUUACAGAAGAAAACAAUCAACUCCGAGGUUUCUGAACUGUUUGUGCUUCUGGACCAUCAGAUCUGGGUACAUGUCUCCCUU